rnacentral:rRNA from 1 species
ACCAGACUCCUACGGGAGGCAGCAGUGGGGGAUAUUGCACAAUGGGGGGAACCCUGAUGCAGCGACGCCGCGUGGGUGAAGGAGCGUUUCGGCGCGUAAAGCCCUAUCGGCAGGGAAGAAGGAGGACGGUACCUGACUAAGAAGCCCCGGCUAACUACGUGCCAGCAGCCGCGGUAAUACGUAGGGGGCAAGCGUUAUCCGGAUUUACUGGGUGUAAAGGGGGCGCAGACGGCGAUGCAAGCCAGGAGUGAAAGCCCGGGGCCCAACCCCGGGACUGCUCUUGGAACUGCGUGGCUAGGGUGCAGGAGGGGCGGGCGGAAUUCCUGGUGUAGCGGUGAAAUGCGUAGAUAUCAGGAGGAACACCGGCGGCGAAGGCGGCCUGCUGGACCGUAACUGACGUUGAGGCUCGAAAGCGUGGGGAGCAAACAGGAUUAGAUACCCUUGUA